rnacentral:rRNA from 1 species
UGGGGGAUAUUGCACAAUGGGCGAAAGCCUGAUGCAGCGACGCCGCGUGGGGGAUGAAGGCCUUCGGGUUGUAAACUUCUUUUGCUCUGAACAAGGCAUGCUAAUGGGUGUGUUGAGUGUAGGGGUUGAUUAGCGCCGGCUAACUACGUGCCAGCAGCCGCGGUAAUACGUAGGGCGCGAGCGUUGUCCGGAAUUAUUGGGCGUAAAGGGCUUGUAGGUGGCUGGUUGCGUCUGUCGUGAAAGCUCAUGGCUUAACUGUGGGUUUGCGGUGGGUACGGGCUGGCUUGAGUGCAGUAGGGGAGGCUGGAAUUCCUGGUGUAGCGGUGGAAUGCGCAGAUAUCAGGAGGAAUACCGGUGGCGAAGGCGGGUCUCUGGGCUGUUACUGACACUGAGGAGCGGAAGCAUGGGGAGCGAACAGG